UUAGGAAUCUUGCGCAAUGGGCGAAAGCCUGACGCAGCGAUGCCGCGUGCGGGAUGAAGGCCUUCGGGUCGUAAACCGCUUUCAGCAGGGACGAUUAUGACGGUACCUGCAGAAGAAGCCCCGGCCAACUACGUGCCAGCAGCCGCGGUAAUACGUAGGGGGCGAGCGUUGUCCGGAUUUAUUGGGCGUAAAGAGCUCGUAGGCGGUUUGGUAAGUCGGGUGUGAAAUCUCCACGCUCAACGUGGAGGGGCCACUCGAUACUGCCAUGACUCGAGUCCGGUAGAGGAGUGUGGAAUUCCCGGUGUAGCGGUGAAAUGCGCAGAUAUCGGGAGGAACACCCGUAGCGAAGGCGGCACUCUGGGCCGGAACUGACGCUGAGGAGCGAAAGCGUGGGGAGCAAACAG
rnacentral:rRNA from 1 species